UUACCCUUUAGUGUUGAUCAUGAGUGCUCGAGCACGUACACUCAAGAGCUCUUAAGGAGAACGCGAAACUGACAGCGUGCGUGUCAUGCGUGUCUUAGCGGAUUGCGAGUACAAGAUCGACUGCCGGUGCUUUUGCAUAUUCACGGAAUUGGCCAGUGUCCCCCAAGGUGUCUCAGGUUGCAAAGGUGUGGUAACAGUGGAGCCAGCCUCCCGGCUACCAGUCUGGCAUAAUAGUUUUACAACCCGGUCUGGAGUCUGGCAAUUCGGGUCAAGAAACCAAUAAAAGUGGUUUGAUUUUUCGAUUUACCCUGGCAGUCACCGCUCGUCUGUGGAGCCAGUUGGACGUCAGGCUCAUUGUUGCUGAACCAACAAUGCAGAACUCGGCCCUGGAGGUGCAUUGAAUGAACAAAGAGGAGAAUGCGGAUUUUCGCGGAUUCUGGCAACCAUGUGCGAAAAUUGGCCUCAAGAAAGAGAGAAUGAACGAGCCAGCGACGGCGGCGGCGGCUGCGGCGACGGCGGUCAGCGAGUGAUUAAUCAAGGUCUGCUGGGCGGGGUGCGGGCCGGGCAGGUGUGUGAUGACACCAGCCGUCGCGGCGUGUGUGUCACACCGGCCAACGGGGGUGCUUCGUUCGAUAAUCUCCCUGUCAAAAUUAGACCACGUCGAUAAUUCGCACGCCGCAGCCACUUUCGGCCGGGCCGUCGGCGCCUGCGGCCGGCAACGCGGCGCCGAACGCACAGGUGGCGGUGAAAGGGUUGACAUUGGGCACGGGGCCGCUGAAAAUAGCUAGCCCGACGAGCUCAUAUGCACAAUAUACAUUGCACACACACAUGUCAUACCAACCAUCGUGGGUGCUGUCGCGCCAAGCAAUCUCAUCGGCUGAAUUCGGCCCGCCGUCCGUCGGCCAUGUCCCGUGUGUCGGCUCUGGUGCUGCCGGCCGACGCUGCCCUUCUCCUCAGCUGGCCAAUUACGGAUUCCGCGAGUGAGUGUAAGUAGUGUUGUGUGUUGCACUUGCACACAACACACACUCACUCGCCCAGCCGACACACAACACACACGGCCGUAAGCGCGGCCGACGAUCCACGCGCGCCGCUCCUGCAGCCUGUUGACUCACACCAGAACCACGUGUGCACCGCACGAACCCAGAGACACCUGCCGGCUGGUGCUCACCACUCGCCAGAGUCGCCAGAUCAUACCAACAUCAUCUCUUUGCGAUACUCUCUCGGUUUUGCUGAACAGUGGGAAAUGUGUUGUUUUCCAGCUUCCUGCACUCGCCAAAUGACUGUACUGUGAUAUUGUGCGAAUUACGAGACGCAAAUUUUUAGGAAUAAUUUCAUCCAGGUCCCUUUCAACAACCAAACGCGAAUUUCCUUGUUGCAACAAAAGGUCAACAAUCAAUUCGACAAUGAAAAUUUGGGUGUUUGUUGAACGUUGCGCAAUUUUGCCGGGACCAGGACGAUUUCAUGUUCUCUUAGUUUUGGAUAAUUAUAGAAAGAGAAAUAAAGUCAAUUUUUUCUGGUA